rnacentral:lncRNA from 1 species
UUGGAGAUGGAGUCCGGCUCCCGUAGGAGUCUGGACGAAGCCUUCCUGUAGUUGGAGUCAGAGAUAAAGUCUGGCUCCCGUAGGAGCUCGGACGUAGUCGAAGUUGGAGACGGAGUCUAGCUCCCAUAGGAGUCCGGACAAAGCCUUCCUGUAGUUGGAGUCGGAGACAAAGUCUGGCUCCCGUAGUAGCUCGAACGAAGU